GUGAAUCAUCAAAUCUUUGAACGCAAAUUGCGCCUUUUUGGAAGGGCAUGUGUGUGUGAGGGUACGAUUUAACAAAUAAUGUGCAGCGUUUUUUGUUGCAAAGGUUGAGGAGUGUUGCAAGAAUUAUAAAUUUUUGGUGGCGCAUAAUGAACAGCGUGAAAGUUUUUUUGAGUUCCAGUGUAGUAAAAUCUUUGCUUGGGUUGUGAAAAAUUAUAAUCGCGCAGUGGGUGUGGCAAUCU
rnacentral:misc_RNA from 1 species